CAUCUAGACUUAGGGUUUUAUCUGACAGAAUUCCACGAGUUUUGGUGUUUGUCUAUUUCUGCAGGGGGUUAUCAGGAAAUAAGGAAGAAAGGCCCACAUGUCGGGAUUACAUAGAGAAUUCAACGCACCGCGCAAUUUUCUACCAUCUAGAAGACUCCAGAAGCCACGGGAAGGAAGCGGAGGCCGAAAGGGGCCAGGCCCAGGGCGCCCGCCCUGAGGACCUGGGCGCCCGCCCCCUGUUGGAUGCCAAUCAGGACUCUCUUCGCUCGGGAUGUUCCACCGAC
rnacentral:lncRNA from 1 species